GGAAUAUUAACUAACUUGCUCCAAAAUACAUGGAUCCAGGAUUUGAAUCCAAGCUGACUGGCUAUAAAUGGAUGUUCCUAACUGUAUCAUUCCAUAGAGUGGAGAGUUCUACUUGCGAGUCCAGUAGCAACUUCCUGGAAUCGUUAUCUGCCUGACUUUGAACUGAUGUGAAGACUGGAGGUGCAUAGCCUUCUUGUAGCAAAUGAUGAGGAUGAAAGAAAGGGCAAGAGAAUGCUCAUCUCCAGUGUGCAUCCACUGCUGCCUGCUGCCACAUUCGUUCCAGGACAGAAAAAUAAGCUCCUCUCUGUAUUAAAGAAAGAAGUAUAUACAUUGAACAAAUAGCAAAGUGUCUGGCAGAAAAGUGCUAAGUAGAAGUCACUGAUGGUGUUUAUGACCAUAAAGAAGAAGAAAAGGAACCAGAGGAGAGAGAAGGAGCUGAAGGAGGAGAGAGAUAUAAGAAGAUAGGAGAAGAAGAAGUAGAUGGGAUUCUGGGGAGACAGAAACAAUGAAAGUGAAAAUUUGCAGUUCUUUUCUUAAAUGUCAAAGUUUUACCCUGAAAGCAACGAAGAUUUGAAAUAAAAAGGAAAUUUAAAUAUUUGUCAGGCACCUUACAAGUCAUCCUAUUCUUCAUUAUGGAUAUUGGGCAGUUCUCUGUUUUUAUCUGAGAUUGAUUAGCAUUGCUGUAAGCCAAAGAAGAAUGUGUUGAGAACUGAAGCCAUGACAGAGAUUGUGGAAUUGAAAGUCAGAGAAAAAAGCAAGCAGCACUCCAUCAAGUUGUACUUUGGGUACUGGAAAAUAUGUAUAUUGUGCUGUUUACAAAUCAUCAUUUUUGCCCCCAGGUAAAGGUGAACUCUGGCACUCCAA